UACGGAGGGUGCGAGCGUUGUCCGGAAUCACUGGGCGUAAAGGGCUCGUAGGCGGCCAACUAAGUCGGACGUGAAAUCCCCAGGCUCAACCUGGGAACUGCGUCCGAUACUGGAUGGCUUGAAUUCGGGAGAGGGAUGCAGAAUUCCAGGUGUAGCGGUGAAAUGCGUAGAUAUCUGGAGGAACACCCGUGGUGCAGACGGCUUGCUGGACCGUGACUGACGCUGAGGCACGAAAGCGUGGGUAGCAAACAGG
rnacentral:rRNA from 1 species